rnacentral:lncRNA from 1 species
CCUUGUUUAGUUGGGGAAUUUGGAAGGUGCCAAAUUACUGUUACAGCACUGUAGCACACUGUAGCGUUUCGUUUGUAUUUGUGAAUUAUUGUCCAAAUAUUGACUAAUUAGGCUCAAAAGAUUCGUCUCGCAAAGUACAACAAAACUGUGCAAUUAGUUUUUAAUUUCAUCUACAUUUAGUACUCCAUGCAUGUACCGCAAGUUUGAUGUGAUGGGGAAUCUUCUUUUUGCAUAGUGUCAAAGUUGGGAGUUGGGAGUAACUAA